CCGUCGAUAGCUCAGUUGGUAGAGCGGUGGACUGUAGAUCCAUAGGUCGCUGGUUCAAAUCCGGCUCGACGGA
rnacentral:tRNA from 6 species